UUUUGCUUGUGCAACCUAAAUAUAAUUAGUCAAAAAGCAAGAAUUGUAAGCAUUAUCAUUAACCAAAACUUUAUCCGAGUUCAGCAAAAAUCAUCUACAGUAUCAGCAAUUAUUGUGACCCAUCCUAUAUAAUUUGCCAUGAAGGAAACAAAAAAAAAUCAGGUACCCAUUGAGGA